GCCUGGUGCAGUGUCACAUGCCUAUAGUUCCAGCUGCUUGGGAGGCUGAGUUGGGAGGAUAGCUUGAGCCCAGGAGUUCUAGGCUAUAAUGUGCUAUGUCGAUCAGGUGUCCACACUAAGUUUGGCAUGUCAAUAUGGUGACCUCCCAGGAGCGGGGGGCCACCAGGUUGCCUAAGGAGGGCUGAACCGGCCCAGGUCAGCACUCCUGUGCUGAUCAGUAGUGGGACUGCUCCUGUGAAUAGCCACUGCACUCCAGUCUGGGCAACAUAGAGAGACCCUGUCUCUA
ensembl:misc_RNA Metazoa_SRP Metazoan signal recognition particle RNA